GUCUGAGAGAGCACAGCAGUAAAGGUUGUUCAAGGACCAGGCCCGGGAAAGCUCUGGGAGGAGUGGCUGCUAUCAACAGCAGAGCUGAUAUUGUCAGAGGAGUCCUGGGGGCAGCCGUGCCCUAGGGGGAGGUUUAGAGGUCUCUCUGAUCAGGGUGGCUACGGUCAGAUUCCUUUACAGAUGUCCCCAAAUGUCUCAGCCUCAGUUCCCUCUAGAUUAUUUCAAACAUUGGACUUUUUAUUGCCUCUGCUUUUUCUACUUUAAAACACCGACUGAAGAGAAAAACUAAAAGUCACUUUGCCCAAAACCUUCUCGUCCAAUUCACGACGAAAGGAAACAGAAACUGAAUGUUUCCUUGGAGGAGAAAGGAAACUGAAACCGAUGCCUUGGGUAUAAAGGACUGGCUGUGAUGCUCAGACGCGCCCAGUGCUCCCUGUCCUGGGGCUCGGUAGACACAGGAGCUCGCGCCGGUCCGGGCUCCUCUACUUUUUUCCUCAGUUGGGAGCGCGGCUCAGCGGCUCUUUGCACGUAGCAGGUCUGCCAUUUUCAUUACUAACUGCCAUUUAGAGCAACCAGACUAAAGGAUAUCUGCUGUAUGUAAUAAUCCCCAGUUUCUACUGGAGGCAGAAAUGGCACCAAGAACGAGUAAAUGCCCACAGAUUUUCGAGAAAAUUUCCCGGUUUAUUUCAGACAAAUUGCCAACAGCCGAAUAUUCCAGUUUAUUCAAUGAUUUUGUUGAGUCUGAAUUUUUUCUCAUUGAUGGGGAUUCAUUACUUAUCACAUGUAUAUGUGAGAAAUUAUUAGAGCCUGGACAGAGUCUCCAUUUCUUCUACCUGGUUGAACGCUAUCUCAUGGAUCUUUUUAAUAAAGGAGGGCAAUUUACCAUAAUUUUCUUCCAGGAUGCUGAGUACACAUAUUUCAGCUCUCCUGAACUUCUUCCUUUGAGAACUGCUUUAAUUCUUCAUCUUCAGAAAAAUACCUGCAUUAAUGUUUGUACUCAAUUUACUGGAUGCUUAUCAAAGGAGUGGAAAAUGUUCUUGGAUCAGAAUUACCCGUAUUUCCUGAUAGUUGCAGAUGAAGGCCUGAACCCUCUGCAAACCCAAAUUUUCAACCUUUUAAUCAUUCAGUGUUGGUCUAUGAGAGUCAAUGUUGUGCUUUUCUCUGGGCAAACAUCUGAUAUUCUUCGACUUUAUGCAUACUUUCUGCCAAGUCUAUACAGGAACCAGAACUUUUUCAAGGAGAAUGAAAAUGAGAUUCAAAUUGCUUAUAAAAAGCUCCUUAGAAAAUUGAGAAAAUACAGAGUUCUACCUUUAGCACCUCUUUUUAAAAACUUUGCAUUGAAACAUAUGAUGGAAGAGGCAUAUGAAACUGUAUCUCUGCUCCAACAAGUCUGGCCAAAAGGAUCUGACAUUCGACGUGUCAUUUGUGUCACUUCAUGCUCACUGGCUUUGGGAAUGUACCAUCGCUUCUUAGAAAACAGAAGAAAGACCCCCUCUGAAGAGACAACUGAUAACAAAACGGUGAACAGUGAUUACUUAACCCUGCGGGAUGUGGAAGAUCUGUGCAAACUGCAUUGUCUCAGUGUGGUUUUUCUACUACACGUACCUCUGUCUCAGAGAGCUUGCUCUAGAUUCAUCACUUCCAGUUGGACUGAAGACACUCAGAUAUUCUUUAAAAUGAAAAAGUGGUGUGACUAUUUCAUCCUAUGUAAUAUAAAUGUUUUGGAAUUUUGGAAUCUGAAUUUAAUUCAUCUUUCUGAUUUAAGUGAUGAGCCUUUGUUGAAGAAUAUCACUUUUUAUUAUGAAAAUGAAAAUGUAAAAGGUAUGACAUUACUAUAUAAUAAUAAUUAUACUUUAAUAUAUACAUGUACUAUAAAA
rnacentral:lncRNA from 1 species